AGAGUUUGAUCAUGGCUCAGAAUCAACGCUGGCGGCGUGCCUAACACAUGCAAGUCGAACGCGAAAACCCCGCAAGGGGUUAGUAGAGUGGCGAACGGGUGAGUAACACGUGGGUGACCUACCUUCGAAUGGGGGAUAACGUCCCGAAAGGGACGCUAAUACCGCAUAACAUCCUGCUUUUGAACAGGUGGAGAUCAAAGCCGGGGAUCGCAAGACCUGGCGUUUGAAGAGGGGCCCGCGUCUGAUUAGCUAGUUGGUGAGGUAACGGCUCACCAAGGCGACGAUCAGUAUCCGGCCUGAGAGGGCGGACGGACACACUGGGACUGAGACACGGCCCAGACUCCUACGGGAGGCAGCAGUGGGGAAUUGUUCGCAAUGGGCGCAAGCCUGACGACGCAACGCCGCGUGGAGGAUGAAGGUCUUCGGAUUGUAAACUCCUGUUGCCCGGGACGAAAAGCUUCGAUCUAACACGUCGAGGUCUGACGGUACCGGGUGAGGAAGCCCCGGCUAACUCUGUGCCAGCAGCCGCGGUAAUAC
rnacentral:rRNA from 1 species